UUGAUAUCGUUCAAAUCCUUUCAAUUUCAAAUUUCCUUUCAAGAGGCGGCCAUUCGAUUCCAUUCCAUUCUCUCUAUUCUAUUCCGCCCCUGUUUGAAGCCAUUGGAGUCCGAAGCAUUUCAUCAGAAGAAGGACCGCACACCUUCGAUUACACUAUCUGCAAUGUUACAUUGAUUCGACACUGAGUUGCAAAUUGCAAUGACGUCAUGCUCCAUCAUGGUUAUGUGUCACUUUAAUAAAUCCACCAAAAAGAAGUGGAUUCCUUGAACCGCCAAUUCAUUUUAUUCUGCCGACGGUGCAUUUGUUUAAUUUUUCCACCAAAAGG